UACUUUUAAUACAAAUGCUUUUGUAACACAUCUGAUGUUUUGUGUAAAACAUAUUUGUACAUGUUACCAAAAAUUUGCCACAUUUUCUGUAGAUUUACGUGUAGUAACUUU